GCGUAUAUCUGAGGCUGCAUAGCUAUUUUGUUCGAAUUAUGGCCCAAACAGUGAUUAGUGAAUUUUAAUCAACAUACAUUGAAGAACACCAGAACCAGUACCCUAAUAUUAACAUUGACGUGGAUACAGAUACGAGGUUUAUAACAUUCGAAAUAGAAAGUUUUUAUUUACAACAUCUGAAGCCCAGGAUGUAGAUUCAGUGGAGCAAAUCCUCGAGUGUGCUUAACUUGAAGCCAAGGUUUCUGAUGCUGCAAAAUCAAUGCUGAAGUAAAAAAGUAAUGCAUGACGAUUGCUUCUUGUGCUCAUCUACCUUGACAUUUUAAGAGUGUAUGAACCCUGCGAACGUCAAGAACAUUAGCUUCAUGAGAAAAGCGAAAAAUAUCAGGGCCCUUUCUCCAUUUUUAUAUUUCCUUUAUUGCCCUUGAUUCGAUAUUUAUUUUUAUUUUAUUUUUUUUGCGUGGGUGGUGCGCAGUUAUUGAUGCUAGGUAAAUUAACAUUUUCAGGGGAUAUUCGUACUUAUGGCAAUACAUGAAGUUAGGCUUGACAUGGGCAGUGCACUUACGGGAAUGCCAGGUCAUACUAAAAAAGGUUACUUACAGGUGGCGUAAUUCCAGGUAAACUUGGGAAUGAGAAAUCGCAGAAUCGCCAACAGAAACUGGACAUCUUGUCUUUCCACAGAGAUCGUGAGUCUCACCAUGGACAUGAAAUCUGAGGUAUGAAACAUCGAUUGUGAGUUCCCACCAGAGAAUUCUCUAUCUGCUCGGUAAUUCAAGGUAAAUCUUCAGCUCACAAGAACAAGUUGCAAUUGAAGCUACAUUCAUGCAGAAUAGCAUGUUUGAAAUUAUAAUGUUUCAUUAGAUUCUCUAGUUGCACGUAUCAACUCAUUGGUGCGAUAAAACUGCCUUCCUUUGUCGCUUGUGGCAGUCCCUUCUCUCCACAAGUUCCAGACUAUGUUAUAGAAUGGUGCCCUACUCAUGUGAGAGGACGAAGAAAUACUCCUAGAAGUCAAUCAAAAGAAUAUGAAAGUGGAGAAGCUCUAUAUCUACACACAAACUGGUGAGAAUUCAUGAAUCCCAUAGCAGCAGCCAAAUUCAUUGUUACUCUUAAAGCAUGUGAAGGAGCACGAGUAUAAACUACCAGUACAGUACAGGGAGGUCAAUAUUAAUAAUGUCAAAUUCUUCCUAGUAAGAAACCAAAUGUUUCCCUCUUGGCUCUGCUUUCCUCCACAGAUCACUAGGCUUAAAACUAGAAGCCAUAAAGUAAUUAAUCUGGUCUUACAGUUCUUAGUCAUGGGAGCUAGAAAGUGUACUAACUGGAUAAUCAUUGUCUUGGUGUCAAACAUGUAGCCAUAAAGAAAUAAAUACGCUCUCAGAGUCCUCAGACAUAGUAAAUACUAAAUAGUGUACCUACCUAAAAAGCAAUUAUUUGGAUACGAUAUAAAACAGGUAUGCCGAUACAGUUUUUUUAAAAAUUAGGAUACGCAAAUACAUGUAUAUAAACGUGUAGUAUUUCUCAUAAGUUACAUCAUAAAAUUCAGCAUACUUUCAUUAUUAUAGAAAAAAUUAAAACAAAGCCCUUACAAUAAAAUACUAAAGCAUUAUAUAGGAUAUUUUAUUCUAUAAAUUUUUUACACUUAUGUAACAAUAUUAAAUAUAUAGGGUAGUUUGAUUAUAAUUUAUUAACACAGCUUUAUAUGUAUUAAAAGUUUUACUGCCAUUGUAAACCCAAUCUUAAAAUUAAGAAAAAAACAAUUGACCCACUUAAAAAAAAAAUUGACCCUGCAUAGGGCUUGGCUUUCAACUUUCAAGUGCCAUCUUCGUUGAUGUGAUAAUAAUACCUUAAGGUUUGACUUUCUCCCUCUCCCUCUCUUCACUGCACUAAUUGGUGAUAGCUUUUUCCACUUCACUCGUCGGCGAUGGCCUUUUUCAUUGCACUAGCCAGCAGGUUAAUUUUUCUCUAUUUUUCAGAGCACCCGCCGAGGUUUGCCGUGUCCAAGAACGUGUCGGACUUGAUGGGAAAAAAAAAAUAACUAGAAAGGCACACGCACCCACAUGGCAUUUCCAAGACAUAUUGUAGCAUGUCUGGCACGUGUCGAAGCUCAAAACGCUGGUGUCGAAGCUCAAAACGCUGGAUCUGACAACAUCUUGGUGCAACAUAGUUACCUACUAGAUGGCUAUCAUCCGACUUCCAAGUAAUCAAAAUCUAGUACUUUUCCCGACCCGCCUGAGAUCUCACAAUUUAAACUCACGCUAAUCUAUCACCAAUAAGCUGAUACAUGACAUGCUUCCUCCAAUGAUACUCAAAAAUUUGUGAGGGAGGUGGGAGAUAGUGAGAGUGUAGGUCAGAAUUAGAGAUAUAUGGUAAACCACACAUCUAGUUCUUCCUACUUCAUUUAUUACUAGUAAGCUGGAAAACCAAAAUAAAUCCAUAAUGGAAACUUUAAAGUCGACCGUCAGAGAUCCGCAAGAAGACAUCUAAUGAUGCUUCUCUUUCAUUCAUACAUAAAGGAUCUGUAAAGAAAUAUAAAAUACAAAAAAAAAUGUGGGAGGCAUAAGAAAGGUAAUUUUCAGCUAGAAGAAAUGGAUAAGAAGGAAAUUUGUCAAUUUUAUCUUCUGGUUGACGUAAAAGAUAUAAGCACAAGUACUUUUACUACUCGAAGGUUAGGUAACAUGAAAACAUGAGUAUGCUAUUACUCUUUGCAAACCCACCCACCACCUGGGGGGAAAAAAAAAAAAGAAAAAAGAAGAAGAAAGAAAGAAACACCUCUUUUGCACACAGAACUUGUUCUUCAGCUUUUCAAGGCAACAUGCUUUCGAGGGUGUAUAGAAUGUUUAAUUAUGCCUCGCCAAAAAUCCCAUUCCUGUGAAUAUUUGUUAAAGCAAGCAACUUUUUAUGAAUGAAUUAUUAGUCAUUUAUUAUUUGGAAACAUAUUAAAGUGAAUACAAAGAUAUAUCUAAUGAGUCUCUUCUGCAUUUAGAGAAGCAGCAAAACCAAUGAAAGUCAGUUUGACUAAGUCGAAGGAAUAGUAUUUCUGGAUGAAGGGGUACUAUUUUCUUGGACAUUGUUAUCCCAUCCAUUUUAUACCAUAAAGAAGUUAUUAGAACAAUAAAGGCACAACAAAUGUUAUUAUUUUUCACUGAAAAGACAUUUGCAAAGAACUGGAGACUCUGAAACAUGUUUAAGCAAAAAUCAGAGGAAUAGAAAAAUGAAAUUUCAGUGUUCGAGGCAUAUGCUAUUACCGGAAGAUGCAACAAUGCUGAAGGUGGUUUGUUUGCCGCUAGAAAUAGGGUAAGGAAUUAUCUCCACUCCACUGACCUUAACAUCAUCAUUAGCCUUCUUAUCUGCAUUCCAUUUGGAGAAAGGCAAAAUUAAUAGAAUUAUGAUCCAUAUUACAAAGAAAAAAUUAUAUUUCUUUUAAUUUCAAGAAACUUGAAAAACUGAUCCGAACAAACCCAACCAGAUCCUCCAGAAAAACUAAUAUAAGAAUAAUAACAAUAAAAACCCACCCUAAUCUUAAAAACGACAUGAUUGAGUGUGAAAAGAAGAAAUCAAACUGACUGACUGACUAUAUGAAAUUACAGGGAUAGUCGAAAAACCAUAAACUGCUUCAGAAAAUGUUAAGAAGACGUUGAAUUUCAAGAAAUUUGAAAAAACUGAAACGAAAUCCAAAAUCAAUAAUUUUUCCAGAAAAAUUAAAUAAUACAGGAAAGGUCAAUACCCUAAUCUUAAAAAUACAUUAUCCGGUUUGAAAAGAAAAAAUCAAAUUAACGAAUAAAUGGAACUCCAGCGUCUUAAAUUUACACUAGAAAAAUACAAAAAGCAAAGGGAAUUCGGUAAUCAUACUGCAGUAUUGACGUCGGUGGACUUGGCAGAAGUCCAAGGUACAAGCAGAUACAGCGAGAAAAGACGAGCAAUGAUAGGCUUCAACUGAACCAUGGCUACUCCUAAAUUAAAGAGAGUGAGCCAGGCUCCUGCUUGAGAAGAAGGAAG
rnacentral:lncRNA from 1 species